AGGACAUAAUAAUGACCAGAGAGCUAAGAAACUAUUUCAAAAAUAAAACGUUGUCCAAACUAUAAAUUGUUGAUAAGGAACUAUGCACUUUAUACUUACAGGGAUUUGGUAAUUAGGAAAGUGAUGGUAAUUUUGUAAUGAGCUACUCCACAGGCAAUGUGGGCAGAAGUUGUCUUCUGAUGGAGCAAAAGAAUUUAAACUUGUAUAGAUGUAUUUUGUUUUAUAAACGUGAAACAUGGAAAGAAAAACUAGAGUGCUUUGUGUUUCUGGGUGUUAUUAUUUAAGUGUAUUAUCUAUUUUUAUCUUUAAAUUUGUCUUAAAUAAUAUUUUUACUUGUUUGAGAAUUUCAUGUUUGUAUACAGUGUGUUUUGAUAUUUAUGUCCCCAUUUCCAGUCCAACUCUCUCUAGAUGCCCCCAGAAGCACCCCUUCCUUGCUUCAUGCCCUCUUCGAGUAUGUUCACAGGUGGAAAAAGCCAAAGGAAAAGACAGAUCAAAGGAUUUGGAGCUCAAGUGAUAAUGCCAGUGCCCUUUAGAAGGGAAAAGACAGUAUCAAAUCACUUCCAGGUGCAAGCUAAUGGAGACCAGAACUAACUGCCAUGAAGGGGAAGGCCAGCAGGUUUGGUGAACCAUGUGGCUGUUUUUGUCUAUGGCUGGAAGCUAAAGCCUACACUGGGUCAUCUGUCUACAGCACAACAGGAUUUUCGUUGCCUGGCUCUCUGUGGAAAAAGGCAUCCAAGGACCUUUGGGGAGCCCAUGGUGACAACCCAUUGCAUCACCUUAGUUUAGCCUUUUUCCAGAACUGAUGAGCUUGGCUCCUUCUCUUCAGCAGGCAGAGGGAAGCUAAUGUGCUGGUCCUGAUUCUUUUAAACAGAGCAUUGGUUUGUGGUGUCUGUUUUGGCUGAUCUAGUCAUGCAGGAAUUCUAAGUAUAUAUCCAGAUUGAUAUGAAUGGGUCCCUGUGGUUUUCUCUGGAAACCAUGAAAUAGUGCAGGCACCCAGGCCCAGAGCAGAGAAGCCAGAAUGCUCACAGUUUUCAUCUAAAGAUGGAUGCUGGUUUUCUAAUGAGAGAGAAAGGAAGUGGUGUGAAUUUUGGUGGACAAGGAGAUGGAGAAGGAUUGGGAGGAGUUGGGGGAAGGGAACUGUAAUCAGAAUAUAUUGUAGGAAAAAAUCUAUUUUCUUAUAAAAUAAGGAAAAAUAAAAAUGAAG
rnacentral:lncRNA from 1 species